rnacentral:rRNA from 1 species
ACACGACUACAUUAGAUACCCCCGUAGUCCAGGGUGUAAACGCUGCGGGCUUGGUGUUGGGGGGUCCUUUGAGGGCGCCCAGUGCCGGAGAGAAGUUGUUAAGCCUGCUGCUUGGGGAGUACGUCCGCAAGGAUGAAACUUAAAGGAAUUGGCGGGGGAGCACCGCAACGGGAGGAGCGUGCGGUUCAAUUGGAUUCAACGCCGGACAACUCACCAGGAGCGACGGUUACAUGAAGGCCAGGCUGAUGACCUUGCCUGAUUUUCCG